UACGUAGGGUGCGAGCGUUUAAUCGGAAUUACUGGGCGUAAAGCGUGCGCAGGCGGUGAUGUAAGACAGAUGUGAAAUCCCCCGGGCUCAACCUGGGAACUGCAUUUGUGACUGCAUUGCUGGAGUGCGGCAGAGGGGGAUGGAAUUCCGCGUGUAGCAGUGAAAUGCGUAGAUAUGCGGAGGAACACCGAUGGCGAAGGCAAUCCCCUGGGCCUGCACUGACGCUCAUGCACGAAAGCGUGGGGAGCAAACAGG
rnacentral:rRNA from 1 species